rnacentral:rRNA from 1 species
GGCGGGACACGUGGUAUCCUGUCUGAAUAUGGGGGGACCAUCCUCCAAGGCUAAAUACUCCUGACUGACCGAUAGUGAACCAGUACCGUGAGGGAAAGGCGAAAAGAACCCCGGCGAGGGGAGUGAAAAAGAACCUGAAACCGUGUACGUACAAGCAGUGGGAGCACCCUUUGGGGUGUGACUGCGUACCUUUUGUAUAAUGGGUCAGCGACUUAUAUUCUGUAGCAAGGUUAACCGCAUAGGGGAGCCGGAGGGAAACCGAGUCUUAAUUGGGCGUUAAGUUGCAGGGUAUAGACCCGAAACCCGGUGAUCUAGCCAUGGGCAGGUUGAAGGUUGGGUAACACUAACUGGAGGACCGAACCGACUAAUGUUGAAAAAUUAGCGGAUGACCUGUGGCUGGGGGUGAAAGGCCAAUCAAACCGGGAGAUAGCUGGUUCUCCCCGAAAGCUAUUUAGGUAGCGCCUCGUGAAUUCAUCUCCGGGGGUAGAGCACUGUUUCGGCUAGGGGGCCAUCCCGGCUUACCAACCCGAUGCAAACUGCGAAUACCGGAGAAUGUUAUCACGGGAGACACACGGCGGGUGCUAACGUCCGUCGUGAAGAGGGAAACAACCCAGACCGCCAGCUAAGGUCCCAAAGUCAUGGUUAAGUGGGAAACGAUGUGGGAAGGCCCAGACAGCCAGGAUGUUGGCUUAGAAGCAGCCAUCAUUUAAAGAAAGCGUAAUAGCUCACUGGUCGAGUCGGCCUGCGCGGAAGAUGUAACGGGGCUAAACCAUGCACCGAAGCUGCGGCAGCGACACUCAGGUGUUGUUGGGUAGGGGAGCGUUCUGUAAGCCUGCGAAGGUGUGUCGUGAGGCAUGCUGGAGGUAUCAGAAGUGCGAAUGCUGACAUAAGUAACGAUAAAGCGGGUGAAAAGCCCGCUCGCCGGAAGACCAAGGGUUCCUGUCCAACGUUAAUCGGGGCAGGGUGAGUCGACCCCUAAGGCGAGGCCGAAAGGCGUAGUCGAUGGGAAACGGGUUAAUAUUCCCGUACUUGGUGUUACUGCGAAGGGGGGACGGAGAAGGCUAUGUUGGCCGGGCGACGGUUGUCCCGGUUUAAGCGUGUAGGUGUGUGUUCCAGGUAAAUCCGGUUCACUUUAACACUGAGGCGUGAUGACGAGGCACUACGGUGCUGAAGCAACAAAUGCCCUGCUUCCAGGAAAAGCCUCUAAGCAUCAGGUAACAUCAAAUCGUACCCCAAACCGACACAGGUGGUCAGGUAGAGAAUACCAAGGCGCUUGAGAGAACUCGGGUGAAGGAACUAGGCAAAAUGGUGCCGUAACUUCGGGAGAAGGCACGCUGACACGUAGGUGAAGUGAUUUACUCACGGAGCUGAAGUCAGUCGAAGAUACCAGCUGGCUGCAACUGUUUAUUAAAAACACAGCACUGUGCAAACACGAAAGUGGACGUAUACGGUGUGACGCCUGCCCGGUGCCGGAAGGUUAAUUGAUGGGGUCAGCGCAAGCGAAGCUCCUGAUCGAAGCCCCGGUAAACGGCGGCCGUAACUAUAACGGUCCUAAGGUAGCGAAAUUCCUUGUCGGGUAAGUUCCGACCUGCACGAAUGGCGUAAUGAUGGCCAGGCUGUCUCCACCCGAGACUCAGUGAAAUUGAACUCGCUGUGAAGAUGCAGUGUACCCGCGGCAAGACGGAAAGACCCCGUGAACCUUUACUAUAGCUUGACACUGAACAUUGAGCCUUGAUGUGUAGGAUAGGUGGGAGGCUUUGAAGUGUGG